rnacentral:tRNA from 1 species
UGGGUGUAUCUCAGUGGUAGAGCAUUUGCCUAGCAUGCACAAGGCUCUGGGUUGGAUCACCCGUACUGCAA